rnacentral:pre_miRNA from 1 species
AAUGUUUGACGCCGUUGACUUUUUUACGUAUGUUUGACCGUUCGUCUUAUUCAAAAAAUUUAUAUAAUUAUUAAUUAUUUUUCUAUCAUUUAAUUCGUUUUUAAAUAUAGUUUUGUGUUUACCUAUAGUUUUACUUAUUUCACAAAAUAUUUUGAAUAAGACGAACGGUCAAACGUGUGUCAAAAAGUCAACGGCAUCAAAUAUU